ensembl:lncRNA
GACUUUUUGUAAUAUGUCGAAAUUAUUGGUCAUAUUAUAGCGAAUUAUUGCACAUAUUGUAGAGAAAUAUGUCAAAUCAGUUGAGAAACAAUUAAUUCUAUGUACUGUACAUAUCAGGAAAAAAUAAACAAUUAAUUUGUUAUUUGUCAAAAAAGUCAAAAUUAGUUAAGUAAUAUUUUUGUUUUGUUACAAUACAUUUGACUUCCUGUCAUUUAAAUUGAACGUCUUAUGGGACAUGGCCAAUUUAUUUUAAAUUACAACAUCUCUGGGUAAAAUCUUGGCAUAAUUGGGAUUGAUAUUGACAUUAGAGAGAAGACAGGAAAAGUGUGGUGUGGUUGUUGUUCUGAAAUGUAUAAAAAUGUGAUAUGUUAGUCUUAAAAAAAAAAGUGAAAAGUAAAAUAGUAUUGGCCUACAACUUCAAAGACAGAAAUAUAAGUGAAAAAAAUAAAUAAAACUACAUCCAUAAGGAAUUCUCAAACUUAUUAGGUGAACCGUUUUUAUCCUGCCAUCUACCUAACUGAAUCAGGAAAUGAAAGAAUGCCAUGGUUCAAUUCUAAUCCAUAGGCAACGUGUCAUUAGUGUCUUGCUAAAACCUUAAAAAGUGGGUGCACAUGCUUCAAAAAACGAGAGCGGUAAGUGUAAAAAUACAAGAGAGAGAAGUGCAACAGCAGUACAGCAGAUGUGGCUGGAGUGCAGCCAAAUUUACCCUCUCUGUAGUCCAUAACUCUCAUCUCAGGAGAACGCUGAGGAGACAAUAAGAGCGAACCAAAGGAUCAGAGAGAAAGCGCAAGUGUUUCAUCUUCUUCCAUACUUGUACCGUCACCCGAGCGUGUCCUGAUGAACUCGUUGUUGAUAAAAGUCGCAUAUAUUUCUUAGAGCAACCUUAUUCACAGACAAAACUGUCGCUGUUGAGUCAUUGGCUUUCGGCAUGACCUAGUUUUCAAGCGAGCAUUUGGUUCGGACUGAUUACCAAAUCAAUAAAUCAACCAAAGAAUGAGUUUCCACAUUUUACGCUUUCAGAUGAACGGCAAGGAGAUGACAAAAUUGGGCAGCUGCCAUGUUUCUGAUGUGGACUUUCUCAGGCGAGUGUUUGGUCUUUGGAGAGCGGCUGUGAACAUCCGUCUGCAGAUGGCCAACACAUUGCAUUCCAGACAGGCCCUUCUGUCUGGACUGGACCAGGAAUGGCACAAAUCCGGCUUCAUGGCUCUCCAGGGCCACAUGGAACUGUAUCUCCCUCUUAAGCAACACCCGCAAGAUCUUGUGUGCGUCAAAGCGCAGUUUUUCCAUCAGCACUAGAACAGAUGGUUCGUUGAGAUGGAGAUGGUUCCAAGCAGCAUCUGCACGGCUCAAACAGACCAGAUGUGCCUCUGGCUCCAUGGCCAAGUCUUUAAGCAGCAGCGAACCAUGCCUGCUGCCUCCCUGGGGUGCCUGGAAUAAAAGCACAACUGUUAACAGGUAGCCCCCUCUAUUCCUGAUGCCCCUUAUAGACUGCACAUAUGAACAGACGGAAUUGUUGAGGUCUGCCGAAACAAACAAAGAAGCAGAUGAGAAGAAUCGCCAGCUUCUUGUCAAAAAGAUUCACUC